AUUGAACGCUGGCGGCAGGCCUAACACAUGCAAGUCGAACGAGUGGCGGACGGGAGAGUAAUGUCUGGGAAACUGCCUGAUGGCGGGGGAUAACUACUGGAAACGGUAGCUAAUACCGCAUACCAUCAGAUGUGCCCAGAUGGGAUUAGCUAGUUGGUGGGGUAACGGCGUACCCAGGCGCCGCUCCCUAGCUGGUAUGAGAGGGUGACCAGCCACACUGUAUCGGAGACACGGUCCAGACUCCUACGGGAGGCAGCAGUGGGGAAUAUUGCGCAAUGGGCGAAAGCCUGAUGCAGCCAUGCCGCGUGUAUGAAGAAGGCCUUCGGGUUGUAAAGUACUUUCAGCGGGGAGGCGUUACCCGCAGAAGAAGCACCGGCUAACUCCGUGCCAGCAGCCGCGGUAAUUC
rnacentral:rRNA from 1 species